ACUCCGCUCUGUGGCGAGCAGCCCCUGCACCAUCCAUGCUCGUCGUGUGUUCGAGAGUUCACGCGCAAGUCUCUGCGUGGUGGCCGUGUCGCUGCAAGCUUGUGCCACGCACCCGGGCAUCGUGUCGCACCAAAUAGCAGCAGCAACACACCCUCAAGCCUCGCAUUGAACCUGCUCGACGAAAAGCGCAGCAAGCUGCGUGUCGUUCGUCCCUGCAUCGCAUAGCCUUCAUCGCUGCGCAUUGUCCGCAUCGGCGCAGCAGCCCUCUCGUUCAUUCUCCACUCCCCUCGUCGCGUGUCAUCAAUCUCGUGCUUGCUGCGCAGCCCAUCCUCGUCGUCGUCGAAACCCUUGGUGAGCCCCUUGCUAGUACCCCCACUGUUUUUUGAUCUCGGGUGCUUGAUAAAAUGUUUGAACCACUGGGCGUUUUUAAUUGCAGCUAGAUGUUGCCACUGCACCUCGCGCGACGCA
rnacentral:lncRNA from 1 species